AACGUAUCACAUAUUUUGCAAAUUAUUUAUUGAAAAGUAAUUUGAGGUAUACAUAGCUUUGUUGCGAUUUGUUUAAAUAUACUGUAUUUAAUGCUUGUCAUUGUUUUGUGGCCAGUAUCAUCGAAUAUAAAAGCACAGAUGGGUCGAACAACUGUUUGUAUUUUAUUAAUAAAAAUUGGGAAGAGAUUAUUUAUUAAAUUAACGCGGUGCUCGAACUUCCAUGCUGAAACUGGGCACUGACAGCAACUUUCUCGCUUUGCUUUAGCGGAUGCGCAAACCGGACAUUUGCAGAGGCUGUCGCUAAACUCUAUUGAAGUUUGUCUAAAGGGAGUCGCCGGUUUAGUUUUUUUCUUUUUGAUGUCCGAAAUGGCGCCCAUCCGCCCAAUUGACGUAGCCAAUCGGGCCGCUCGCGGCGCAUGAUGUAAGACGCUUUAAUGUGUGCCGCGUCCUUUAAAAGCCGCAGGUGCCGGCAGUUACUCGUUAAUGGCGGCUCGACCUGGUCCGGUUAAAUGACGCAGCUAGAAAAAUGCGUUGGGAUUUCUGCACACGGAGACCAGGUUGGAGUUGUCAAGCAUCAGAGUUCACUCCUGAAACUGUAAGAUAAGAUUGGUCAUCCUGAAGAUCUUCAACACAGUAGGGAACAUCGUUUUUCUUUUAUUCCCCGUGGCCGCCGUGCCGCUGUUGCACCUUGCCUGGACGCUCCUUGCCUGGACGCGCCUUGCUAGGCUGCUGUUCAUAGCUGUAUGUGUGUGGUUGAGUGUGGGUUGUGUGUGUGUGUGUGUGUGGGAAACUUUAAUACAUACCAACAGAAAAUGGCCACAUGUCUUUUUGUCUUGUUUGUUUCCUUUCUGGUUUUCCUUUCUUGAGUUUCCAGGCUGUGGAAUCUGGGUUUUGGAGCAAGAGCCAUAAACUGGAGGAUGGUUAGCUAGUCAGUGUAGUCUUACAGGUGGACGGCUCUCUGCUCAGAGUUGUUGUAACUCUGGUCCCUUUUUUCUAAUGGUGUGGAUGUGGAACUGCUGAGCAAGUAGGUAAAUGUUGGCUCUGAUUUCUGACCGUGUUGGUUCAGUAUUUGUAGUUGAUGGAGUGUCUGCAGGGUGUCAUUUGGACUCGAAGUGUGUGACUGCAGUGGUUUUGAGCUCAGCAGUUUGGAGUGUGGGUGUGACGAUGUGCUGUUUCAAUAUGUGUACUAACAAUGAUUGCUUUGUAGGUGCUGUCGUCAAAGGGUGAGUCCAAAACUUUUAUUCCCCUUCUUCCGGAUGGCUAGCCUGUCAGCCUCCGCCUGUCCCUAUCCUUAGAUUUUUAGUCAGGAAUAGAGUUUAUUACUUAAACCAUAAGUGUUAUUUUGCUGUCAUUUAAUCUAAUUUAAUCACUGAGAUAUGGCUGAACAAUGUGGUGCAUAAUAUUUAUAACAAAAUACUAUAAGUGCAACAACUGAAUUUCCUCCAAGACUGCAGAUGAAGAGCGAUACCAGGUAUGUACCCUGUUGAUGGGUACACACCUGGAAGGUAGGUGCCUGGCUCCAUGCCAUAACCAUUUUUUCUUUUCAGAUUCUACUGAAGGAAGACAACCAGUCUUGUGGGAGGAAAUAAAGUAAAUAGCGAUUUAGUUGCGCGAUUAAAAUGUGACACCAUUUCUGUUCUUUCCCAGCCGCCGUGCUGAUCGUGCGCUCUAUCAUGGCCUCCUACCAUGACCUUUUUUCCAGCUGCCGUGCUGAUCUGUUACUGUAUUGUCUUUUCAUAAAAAUUUUGCGUAACAAUGGCUAGUUGUCGGUCAAUGUUAAGUAGACAUAAUUGCCACAGUUCAGUCUAAAAUAUGUACUAUGUGUGUCAAGUUCAGGAGUGUAGCAUAAAAUUCUCUUCUCUAUAUGCUGGGCUGUGGAUGUGUAUGUUUGUGUGGGACCAGAUGUUGAACCAGACUGACAUGUUUCUCACCUCUGAAACAAGAUUAGCUUAGUUUGAAUUGUAAGACUGCCUUGUUUUGGCCACUGUGUCAAAAGGCUGAUGUCCUGAAAGGGUUUUAUGCCAUUGUGGUGCUUCCUCUUCCUCCCAUGUCUACCUGUCUCCUGUCCUUUGUUUCCUAGUGUGGCCUGUGUAGUCCUACUGGCAGUUUAUAUUAUUUAGUAUUCCACGAAUUUACGUCCCGUUUGCGUGCAUUCUCCAUUUUGCGUUGCCGUCAUUUUCGACACUUUCGGAUGUCGUCCUUCCUUCUGACAACUUUGGAUGUCCUGGUUGCUGUCAAAUCCCGGCUGUCCAGUUGCUGUCAAAUCCCGGCUGUCCAGUUGCUGUCCAUGGUGACCCGAUGAAUUACUGCUGCAUCGAUCAACGUGGUGUUCCAGCACUCCGAUAUCAAGAAUUUACUUGCCUUUGUACUUUUUGGUAAUGUAUUAAUGUACCAUCUGUAAAUUUGUAUUCUUGUGCUUGCCUUUGUACCACUUGUAAAUGUGUAUUCAUGUGCUUGCCAUUGUACCACUUGUAAAUGUAUUCAUGUACUUUUUGUUAAUCUAUAUUUAUGUACUUUUUACCUCCUUGUAAAUGUAUACAUGUGUACAUCUGUUUGACUAUUAGUUAUCUAAGCAGCUAGCUCACAGGAGUCUAGCGUUUGCCUCUGAAACAGAACUGUUUAUUGUUGACUGUUAUUGGUUUAAUGACUGUUUAAACUGGGUUAAUUUUGCAAAGAUGUUCUACGAUCAGUGUAUAUGUGGGUGGUGGAGGCUUCACCAGUCAGUUAAACAGGUAGGAGUCCUUGGUUAAUUCCUGCCUCAGAUGGGCCGUUGGAAACGCUGGAAAUCUGCCAUUCUGGAAUGAAGGGUGAAAGUGGCCCAAGUGAACAAACUUGUGAGGUCUUCUCAGCCCCAAGAUGUCUUCAGACUUGAGACUACAGUCAAACCAAGAUAAUCCAGACCUUCCUACUCGGGUGUCUUGAGGGGCCCAGACUCAUCACAACUGAUCGGAAUUUCCAUUCUCAUCCCUGCUGGGUUGUAUAUGGAUUUAUUUUAUUUUCUAUGUAAUCAUCUUUAGCUCCAUGGUUCACUGGUGUAUAUUUUGUUGUGUAAGUUGAUCAGGGUCACUACUAGACCCUGUAGUUUCAGGGUUACUACUAGACCAAACUAGUUUGCAGCAGUAAGGCUAGUGUAUGAGUUGGAUGUUAGGGGUCAUUUAUCAGUUUACUGUUCAGUAAUUUAAAUUACCAUAGAUUGGUUUUAAAUUACCGUUCAGCCUUUAGAUGUUGUUUUUAAAUGUUAAACUUUCCAUGUCAAAUUUAAACUCACCAGUUCUGUCACGCAGGCUGUAUUUGGCCUUAAAUUGUCUUUAAUGGCAUUGAACAGUUUAGCCUGUUAGUUCUGUCUUGUUUCCCUUUGCCAAAUCAAUUUUCUACUAAAGAACUGUGUACCCUUCUGUGGUACUUAGAUGGCGUGUUGGGAGGCCUCCCAGCAGAGGAAUAUUGUCCUCUGCUAAAGUCGUUUUAGUGGCUAGACACAGGGCUUAGUUGACAAAUAUAUCUGGCUAGGCAUACAGGUUAGAUUGCGCGUUUAGGUUCCUUAUUAGGAAAUAUAUUUGGCAAAGGGGCAACCUAAGACUUGGUAAAAAUUAAGUUGAUAUUAACUAUAUAGACAAGAUCUGUGGGCUAAAUAGCAGAAGAUUAACGUAACCAUUUUGUUGAAGUAGGCAGUUAAAUUUAAGAGAUUUAGUGCAGUGUCCACAAUAUUCCAUGUUGAGGGGGGUGGCAAAGGAUAAUGUCACUCUUGUGUAGAAUGAGUUUAGGGUGGAAUGAUAGGUGGGGCACCUGCGAGAUGGUAUUCAAUUGUUAAUUUACUGGUGUUUAAUCUGGGUCAACUGUAAAUGGGCUAUGAUUAGUGAAGAUGGUGGAGGUUGAGGGACAGGUGUAGUCUUCACCUGAGCUCUUCUGAUUGACUGAACAGGUGACGCUUCUCAGUAUUUCCUGUCCCACAGGUGUUGGUGCUGGGUCCAAACAAUCUCUGGAAACCUGUACCGUAGGGUGAAGGUGGCCCAGGAGAACCAACUCCAUAGUAGAAAGAUCUUCUCAGCCACAGGAUAUCUUCAGGAUUCUAUGGACCAGUGUUUACCAAGUCUGGAGAAGAUGAAUCCUGGUUAAAGGGACCUGAGGAUGGUUAACCCAGUAUAGGAUUCCUCACUGUCAUUGGAGAAGAUUCAGGCAGCUCCUGCAGGGUCCACCUUAGAAGAUACGUACAUCUCAGGGCAGUGGUGUUUCUGCGUUCGGUUUAGCAGAAUUUUAAAAAUGACCUGGGAUGGAUCCCAGUAAGCUGAAGUUGGCUAAGUAUGUUGGACCUGGACUGUGUCAUCAAAACACAUGCACAGGAUGACUAAUGUGAAAAAACUCCUCACGAAGAGCUCCAUUUGAAAAGCCAGGAUGCCGUAGACCUCAGACUACAAGAUGUGGGUUUCUUGAGAUACAGCCCUCCCCCCCACCCAAGGACCCAGGCCCACCGCACCUGAGGAGGGGACAGCAGUCUGCUUGGCUGUUUUUUUUUUUUUUUUAAUUAUUUUAAUUUUAUGUAUAUUUGUAUUUCCAUACAGUUGCCCAUUUACGAUCAACAUGACUUCUUAUGGAUAUUCUUAGAUUUGGUCUUUGGUCACUGAUGACUAACUACACGCUUGAACCCAGUUUUAGUUUAGCUUUGCUUUAGUUUCCAGUCAGAGUUUAAUGAGCUGGAUUUCCUUCACAAUACUAACUUCUACUAACAACACUCCACACUACUGUUCUAAACGUUCAUCACCCUUCUUCUUCUUCUUCUGGGUACUUUUAAGGAAAUCUAGUCAUGAAUUCUUACUGUGAGUGCUGCACCAUGAAUGCAGUUCCCAAAAUCAGACUUGGAUCCAUCUGAUUUUGUGAUCUGGUCUGUCCAUGGUACAACAUAAUGAGGAUGUCAGAAUUAAUGUAGAUUUAGUUAAUGAUCAAGCGUUUGUGGUUAUUUCAUCAGUGGUCUUUUGUCCAAAUCAUGGACUAUACAUCAGAAGACAUGGUGGUUUAGUUUAUGGUUCUGUUUGUUGUUUUUAGUUUGGGGAGGAGGUCCACAGUACUCUUGUUUUUGUGUUUGUUUAAGUUUUACUUUGGUUUUGUAGGGUAGAAGGAUUCUACUGCUGGCUGGCCUGGCGGCUUCCUUUGAUUUUGUUUUGUUGGGCUGGGACCUCCACCCAUGGUUCUUAUUUCUACAUCUUGGUUUGAAGUUUCUUCACAUUUGCCAUAUGUUUGUAUGAAACAAACCCAAGUUUCCUCUUGUGUGCUUGUUUUAUUUGUGUUAAAAAAAAAACUCUUCCACUUCCAGAGGAGCAUUAACUAUCAACUUGUAAGAAAAAUGUAUAUAUUGUGUAUGUUUUCUUGUUUUUUUAUUUUCAGUUCUGUCAGUUCUUGUAUUAUUUUUUUUUUUGCAACCAUUUUGCACCAAACUAAAUGUUUUGCCAAAAUAUCUUUCUGUAUUGUAGAUAGUGUUUUGAACUAUCAUAGCAUAUUUUGUUAAAUUGAUAAAAAUUAAGUUAACGCCAAGCAUUAUUGUCUAACUUUUAGCUUUCCAUACUUUUAUCAUACAACAAUCACCAUUAUUUGACAUGUAAUCCAAAAAUGUAUUUUUAUAUAUAUAUAUAUAUGCAACGUAACGGUAGAUUUCAAGUUUGUCAACCAUUUGUCAAGCAGCCAACAGGAAUGCAUGCAGCAGAGGUUCGUGGGGGCCCUGAUGUGUCCCUACCUGCCUGUGGACAUCUGUCUACCCUCCAUCUUGCUCUCCAUGACACCCACAGUCUUAGAUCAUCUCCUCCGUCUCUACGCUCCACUUGCGUUUGGCUCGUGUGGAAACGGCGUAGAGCGUCACCAGCUUUUCUCCCGCCUGGCACUUUGAUGUCUCAAGUGUGAUUGCUCUUGGACUGUGUCUGCUUUCCCUUGAAGGUUUGACGGGUCGAGCAGACGGGCCUCUCAGGUUUGAGCCAGGGCCAGUGAUCCAGGACUAAAACAUCAGUUGGCUGACUGUGGGAUACUGUUUCAGGCUGAGUGCUGCACAAGCAUAGGGGUUCUUCUUUUGCAAACAACACACACUUUUGAUGUGCCUUGGUGCAGUCAGACACAUAGACCAUUGAUAGAUUAAUGAGUUUCACUGGGUAAUUUUGAACAUUCUCUACUGUACAAACAAGCAGUGGAGUAUGGUGUGUUUGAACACAAUGGAGGGUAGACACAUUUAAAAUCUGAAAGAUUUGACAUGGCAAAACAAAACAGACUAGAUUUAAGAG